CGUGAUAGAUGCAAAGUAGAUUGGAAUAUAAGUAAAUCUGAUGUAGGAGUAAACAGAUAUUCACAAAGUAAAUUAAAGUCCAGUGUUGAUUUAAGCAAGUUGGAUGUUCUGCAGGGAGAUAGGAAGUCCAGGUAGGUUUGCUGCAGGAAUGAAGAGUUGUACAGGUAAGUUUGGAGCAGGUUGGUAUUGCAGGAUAAGUAGCCAAUAAGGAAAAUCAAUAGGUUAACUCAUGGCACUCAUUAAACUUCAAUGUCAAGGCGUUACCUUUUGUAGGAAUCCAAGUUAAUCCAGGCAGGUGAGCAUGAUAAAGUGAGUGGUCAAACUGGAGGCAAGGGAGGCCAUUAGUAGUAAAACAAAGUCAAUGCAGAAACUUGUUUUUUUUAAAGGAACGGGAUAUACAGAACAAAAGUCUUUCUUGUAAGGACAGGAUCCUGACACACAGGCUCCAAGUUGAAAAGGGAGGCAAGACCUACUCACUUAAUCACCUCUCCGAAGCGCAUCACCUACUACGGGAGCUGGGAUCACCUAAGGGUCCCUUCUCCAUACCGCAACAUCCUUUGUAGUCAGUUGACCGGAUAACUUCAUUUGUCCCAAGAGUAGCCUGCCCCGGGAUCAAGUGAUUCGCCACCGUGAUGAAAGCUAUCGCGCCACCUUCUCUAACCUACAUUAGAUGCUCUUUACAAGCGUAUUUUACUUUUCUUUAUAACUGUUGACAACGUUAUUAUGCCACGUUUU